UGCCCUGGCUCAGUUAUCACAGUGCUGAUGCUGUCAGUUCUAAAGGUACAGUACUGUGAUAACUGAAGGAUGGCA
rnacentral:pre_miRNA from 9 species